rnacentral:rRNA from 1 species
UACGAAGGGGGCUAGCGUUGCUCGGAAUCACUGGGCGUAAAGGGCGCGUAGGCGGCGGUUUAAGUCGGGGGUGAAAGCCUGUGGCUCAACCACAGAAUGGCCUUCGAUACUGGGACGCUUGAGUAUGGUAGAGGUUGGUGGAACUGCGAGUGUAGAGGUGAAAUUCGUAGAUAUUCGCAAGAACACCAGUGGCGAAGGCGGCUCACUGGUCCGGUACUGACGCUGAGGUGCGAAAGCGUGGGGAGCAAACAGG